rnacentral:rRNA from 1 species
UACGAACCGUGCGAACGUUGUUCGGAAUCACUGGGCUUAAAGGGCGCGUAGGCGGCUCCGCAAGUCGGGGGUGAAAUCUUUCGGCUUAACCGGAAAAGUGCCUCUGAUACUGCGGAGCUCGAGGGAGGUAGGGGCGGACGGAACUUCCGGUGGAGCGGUGAAAUGCGUUGAUAUCGGAAGGAACGCCGGUGGCGAAAGCGGUCCGCUGGCCCUCUACUGACGCUGAGGCGCGAAAGCCAGGGGAGCAAACGGG